GUGCUCUCUUUGGCAGCACAUAUAUUAAAGUGGGAAUGAUACAAAGAUUACCAUGGCCCUUGAAUAAGGAUAACACACAAAUUUGUGGAGGGUUGUGCCUUCUC
rnacentral:snRNA from 1 species